GUGUAGCUCAGUGGUAGAGCUUGUCCUUUUCAUGCACAAGGUGUCCUGGGUUUAAUUCCCAGCAC
rnacentral:tRNA from 1 species